UAUUAAUUAAGUCAAUUACAAUUAAACUAAUUUUGGAAGCGACUACAUAUAUAUAAUAAUAAUAAUUUGGGUCCCGUAAUAAAUCCCAAAAAUUAAGGCUUGAUAGGCUUUUGUCUCAUUUGUUAAUUAGAUAUAAUUAUAUAAUUAAGAUAAAAAGGUUACUAAAUGAUUUUAAUUAUACGUAUAUAAAACAAAGCAUAAAUUAUUUGCCAAUGGAUUCGCAAAACUUCUCAGCAAAUGAUUCUUGGCAAUUG
rnacentral:misc_RNA from 1 species